CAGCCUCCCUGCAGCAUGUAGACAUCAAGGGUGCCUUCUCCAUUCCCUCUUUAGAAGCUCUGAGGCAAGAGAAGCACAGAGAAGCAGUGAGACUGAAAAAACUGUCCGAAAUUCCCAAAUUCCAUUUCAGAUCACAUCCAAAGGACAAAACCGGUUUCUCCAGGUUUCCAAGACUGGUCUCCGGUGUACAAAAAUAAAGAUGAUGCCUCUUGUGUGAAUUA